rnacentral:rRNA from 1 species
UACAGAGGGUGCAAGCGUUAAUCGGAAUUACUGGGCGUAAAGCGUGCGUAGUCGGUUAUUUAAGUCGGGUGUGAAAGCCCCGGGCUCAACCUGGGAAUUGCAUUCGAUACUGGAUAGCUAGAGUUCGGCAGAGGGAAGCGGAAUUUCCGGUGUAGCGGUGAAAUGCGUAGAUAUCGGAAGGAACAUCAGUGGCGAAGGCGGCCUUCUGGACAGCGACUGACGCUGAGACGCGAAAGCGUGGGGAGCAAACAGG